rnacentral:lncRNA from 1 species
UGCUUUUGGCCCAAUUUUAUAAAUUUCGAAGCCAAUUUUGAGGCCCAACAAGACCUAGCCCACUUCCCAUUCCUCUUAAAUCUUACACCCUAACUCUGAAGACUCUUCUUCUUCAACCUUGAAACCCUAGAAGACAACAACAACACAAAAAAAAUAUCUAGGCUAGCCUUAUUCUUCAUACUUGGACAUUAAAAAACCAGAGAACAAGACAACAGUGGACAACCAUGGACGCCCAUCUUCUUCUUCACGUGGAUGAACUAGCGGAACUCUAGAGACCAAACCACCACCUGAAACCGCCGCCGCCUUUGCUCCUUCUUCGCUCACGUCCAUGGCUUCUUCAACAACAAGACAAGAGACGAAACACUAGGCUCCCAUCUUCUUCUUCGACACUGAACCAAACAGUGCCCCAUGUUUCCCAACGUCAAACCAACCAGCGACCCUGCUCUCCAAAAACAACACCAGCAUCCAUCCUCUACACCACCACGCCGCCGCUGCUUUCCCCUUUACUCCAUCUGAACAGACCCCAUUUUUGAACCCUUGAGCCGUCACUAACACACACGCACAGCUUCACCUCCGCUGGAACCAGGCGCCGGACAACCACCAUUCCAACUCCAUAACCGUUGCUCCUCCACAGCUUUUGAAUAAUCACCAGUCGUCCGUCCGUUUCAGCCAGAACCCGCCACCUCAACCAAAAAUCUCGCCGAAAAAUACUCACUCAUGACCGAACAUCAACAUCCAGCAGCCAGCCCUCGACCUAGUCAAGAAGCAUGAUAUCUCCGUUUGUUCAAAGUCAGUUUCGCGUUUUGUUCUAUUCUUCAUCGUCAGAUUUUUAGUCAGCUUUAUAUUUGCUUCCAACCGUCGUUUUCUGGAGCUAUCACCAUGGAUAGAAGAAAAAUGAUUCCAUUUGAAGCCAUUCUCAUUCUCAUUUCUUCCAAAUCAUUGAGCUGAAUUCGAGUUCGUUUCCAGUGGUCGGUUCCGGUCGAGAUCCGUCUCUGUAAUUUCAGCUUAGCUUAUUUAUACCAAAGGUCACAUUCCCGUCCCUUCCUUCCCCCUCUUAUUUACAAAGUGCUCUUUUCUAAUUGGCAAGAUUCUUGGUGUUGUUAGUUGCAUACUGAAUCGUUUGAUAUGUUAGUUGCAUGCUGAUUUGCUUGAUACGUUAUUUGCUCGAUAUUUUGUUUGGGUGAUAA